AUGCUUAGAAUGAAAAGAGCACCAUUUGCCAGGCUUGUCGAGACCUUCAGGAGCAGGGGCCUGUUACAAGAUAGUAUCAACACCAGUGUCGAAGAGCAAGUGGCCAUGUUCCUCCAUGUUGUUGGCCAUAACCAGAGGUUCAGGGUCAUUCACAACACGUUCAGGAGAUCAAUGGAGACCAUCUCUAGGUACUUCAAGUGGGUGCUUUUUGCUGUUGGGGAGCUUAGAGGAGAGAUGAUCAGGAGACCAUCUGGCCAGACUCCACCCAAGAUUCGCGGAAGCCCAAGAUGGUAUCCAUACUUCAAGUUGAGCACUAACACAGGCUAG
rnacentral:rRNA from 1 species